rnacentral:misc_RNA from 1 species
UUUUAUUUUUAAAAGCUAAAGCAGAGGUGGUGAAAUGGAAAGACUGAAAAAACAGAUUUUGAAAAUAAUUGUCUUGAGCUGUUGGUACAGUCAUGUAAAAGGAGAGAUUCAUUACUUAAUUGAACCUUACGGUCUUCCUAACUGCUAUUUGGAUUUGGAUUUAACUAGCAUUGGCAAAUUUAUGACCUACAAUUGCAAUGGUGGGUUGAAGUUUUUGCUUGUGAAUGGAAUAAAUGGAGAUGGAGUUUCAUUUCAAUCUCUAGCAGACAAAACCAAAUAUCUUCGUCAUUAUUUUUUUGUUCUAAGACUCAAUACUUUAUCUGAAGUAAACAACAAAAUCGGUGAUCAACAAUUUUAUAUCCAUCCAAGUUAUUAUGACUCAUAUGUUUUAUUACAAUCAACAAAUUAUCCUCUUAAAUAUCUUUGGCGCAAUAAUUUACAAUUCAACAUAGAUGAUUACAAGGAUCAAGUUCAAUCAUUAUCAAGUUUUAAACUUCUUGUUUGUGACUUGACCAUUUUAAAGAUUGAACAAAUUACAAGAUAUUCUAUCAAUAUUACCAUUGAUGUAAAUACACCAAUCUUUAAUAUAUCUGACUAUUAUGUAAUUAAAAGUAAAGACCCAAAUAAUGAUAUCAAUUUAUUUGAUGUUACUGGAAGUUCUGCUCUUAUUACUUCAUUACAUAGCUACACUAUAUAUGAGUUUUCUGCAGGUCUUCAAAAUGAAUUUGGUUUCUAUGUGUAUGGAAAUUUGUUUUACUUCCAAACAAAUAAAGAUGAUCUGAACAUUAUAUCAGUUGAAAGCAUUGACAGAUAUUCAGUAAAUGUCACUAUUAAUCUGUUCAUACCAGCCUGGAAUAUAUCAAAAAUGUUUGUUGUUAAGUAUACAGAUCCAAAUAAUGUAACCAUGCUGUAUAAUCUCACAAAUGGUUCAGCUGUUAUUCCUUCAUUACAAAGUUACACUGUUUAUCAGUUAUCGGCAGGUGUAAGAAAUGAAUUUGGUGUUUAUGUGUUUGGGAAUGUAGUUUUCUAUCAAACAGAUCAAGAUAUUCCAACUGGUUGUCCAAGUAAUUUAAAUGUUGCAACAAUUAGUUCUACUGCUUUGUUGUUGUCAUGGGAUAAAGUUGAAUUUUCAUCAAGAAAAGGGAUUAUAGUAAUGUAUUUAUAUACAUGUUUCAGCUCUGAAUAUAGUGUUUCAAACAAUGUUGGUAAUAAUACUUUUAUUGUAACUGUGGAUAAUCUUGUUCCAGAAACCUACUACAAUUGUUCUGUGGCAGCUUGUACUAAAGUUGGUUGUGGUGUAGCAGCAUCUAAAAAUGUAAAAACAUUGGUUGGAAACAUUCAUAUGGAUAGCUGCGUUCAUGGAUUUGUUGAAAAAGAUAUUCUAAAUAUAUCUCUUCAAUUGAAUGGGAGUGGCUAUAAUGUAACAAUAGAAUAUUUUUUUCCGCCGUUUGUUACCUUUGCUUCAGAAAGUGUUCUACAUGGAUUUUUAAAAUUAAAUUCUGCUCAAUUUAAGUAUAUUUUUUCUGGAUAUUUUAAAACUAAAGGAGUAACUACACACAACAUUACAUUGAAGGUAAACAAAAGAAAAUGUUUUAGUGACUUUUCAAUUGAAAUUCCAGUGAAGCUGAGUUAUCAAAACACACUUGGUGUAUUAAAAGUUGUUACAAUGGCAUAUCAAAAAAAUUUGACUUGUUCAUUUAAAGUUUCACCUAAGAUACCAAGAGAUAAAAAUGCUAGUUCAGUUGGAGGAAUGUUGUCCCACCCAUUUCUUCAUAGUUUAUAAAGUUUGAUUACUUGGGAGAAAGAAUAUUAUGGGCGUGGAAUGUAUAUCGAUAAUGAAAAGUUUAAUUUUUACAUUUGCAUGAAUCAACAUGUUGAGAGUACAGUACCUGCAUGCUAUUAUUCUAACAUACAUAAUG